rnacentral:rRNA from 1 species
UCAGGAUGAACGCUGGCGGCGUGCUUAACACAUGCAAGUCGAACGGACAUACAGCACCGAUACGGAUUAGUUCGCUAUUGAAGUGUCACCGUUGUAUGUUAGUGGCGGACGGGUGAGUAACGCGUGGGCAACCUGCCUUUAUCCGGGGGAUAACAGUUAGAAAUGACUGCUAAUACCGCAUAAGCGCACAGGAGGGCAUCCUCCGGUGUGAAAAACUCCGGUGGAUAGAGAUGGACCCGCGUUAGAUUAGCCAGUUGGCGGGGUAACGGCCCACCAAAGCGACGAUCUAUAGCCGGCCUGAGAGGGCGACCGGCCACAUUGGGACUGAGACACGGCCCAAACUCCUACGGGAGGCAGCAGUGGGGAAUAUUGCACAAUGGGGGAAACCCUGAAUGCAGCGACGCCGCGUGGGUGAAGAAGUAUUUCGGUAUGUAAAGCCCUAUCAGCAGGGAAGAAAUUGACGGUACCUGACUAAGAAGCCCCGGCUAACUACGUGCCAGCCGCAGC